rnacentral:miRNA from 1 species
AACUGAACCAGGAGUGAGCUUCG